rnacentral:rRNA from 1 species
AUUGUACCCGCUGAACUUAAGCAUAUCAAUAAGCGGAGGAAAAGAAACCAACAGGGAUUACCUCAGUAACGGCGAGUGAAGCGGUAACAGCUCAAAUUUGAAAUCUGGCUCUUUCGGGGUCCGAGUUGUAAUUUGUAGAAGAUGCUUUGGACGUGGCUCCGGUCUAAGUUCCUUGGAACAGGACGUCAUAGAGGGUGAGAAUUCCGUACGUGACUGGGUUGCCUCGUCCGUGUAAAGCUCUUUCGACGAGUCGAGUUGUUUGGGAAUGCAGCUCAAAAUGGGUGGUAAAUUUCAUCUAAAGCUAAAUAUUGGCCAGAGACCGAUAGCGCACAAGUAGAGUGAUCGAAAGAUGAAAAGCACUUUGGAAAGAGAGUUAAACAGUACGUGAAAUUGUUGAAAGGGAAGCGCUUGCAAUCAGACUUGCGUAUGGUUGAUCAUCCGGGCUUCUGCCCGGUGCACUCGAUCGUACUCAGGCCAGCAUCGGUUUGGGCGGUUGGAUAAAGGCCUUGGGAAUGUGGCUCCUCUCGGGGAGUGUUAUAGCCCUCGGUGCAAUGCAGCCUGUCCGGACCGAGGACCGCGCUUCGGCUAGGAUGCUGGCGUAAUGGUUGUAAGCGACCCGUCUUGAAACACGGACCAAGGAGUCUAACAUCUAUGCGAGUGUUUGGGUGUCAAACCCAUGCGCGUAAUGAAAGUGAACGGAGGUGAGAACCCUUAAGGGUGCAUCAUCGACCGAUCCUGAUGUCUUCGGAUGGAUUUGAGUAAGAGCAUAGCUGUUGGGACCCGAAAGAUGGUGAACUAUGCCUGAAUAGGGUGAAGCCAGAGGAAACUCUGGUGGAGGCUCGCAGCGGUUCUGACGUGCAAAUCGAUCGUCAAAUUUGGGUAUAGGGGCGAAAGACUAAUCGAACCAUCUAGUAGCUGGUUCCUGCCGAAGUUUCCCUCAGGAUAAUC